AUUGAACGCUGGCGGCAGGCCUAACACAUGCAAGUCGAGCGGCAGCGGGUCCUUCGGGAUGCCGGCGAGCGGCGGACGGGUGAGUAAUGCCUAGGAAUCUGCCUGGUAGUGGGGGAUAACGUUCGGAAACGGACGCUAAUACCGCAUACGUCCUACGGGAGAAAGUGGGGGAUCUUCGGACCUCACGCUAUCAGAUGAGCCUAGGUCGGAUUAGCUAGUUGGUGGGGUAAAGGCUCACCAAGGCGACGAUCCGUAACUGGUCUGAGAGGAUGAUCAGUCACACUGGAACUGAGACACGGUCCAGACUCCUACGGGAGGCAGCAGUGGGGAAUAUUGGACAAUGGGCGAAAGCCUGAUCCAGCCAUGCCGCGUGUGUGAAGAAGGCCUUCGGAUUGUAAAGCACUCUAAGUUGGGAGGAAGGGCAGUCAGUUAAUACCUGGUUGUUUUGACGUUACCAACAGAAUAAGCACCGGCUAACUUCGUGCCAGCCGCCGCGGUAACAC
rnacentral:rRNA from 1 species